rnacentral:rRNA from 1 species
CCCUUAGAUGUUCUGGGCCGCACGCGCGCUACACUGAUGCAUUCAACGAGUCUAAAACCUGGUCUGAUAGGGCUGGGUAAUCUUUUGAAAGUGCAUCGUGAUUGGGAUAGAUGAGUGCAAUUCUUCAUCUUCAACGAGGAAUGCCUAGUAAACGCAAGUCAUCAGCUUGCAUUGAUUACGUCCCUGCCCUUUGUACACACCGCCCGUCGCUCCUACCGAUUGAAUGAUCCGAUGAAUACCAUGGAUUGAGAGUACGAAUGGGUUCGCUCAUUUCUGCUGCUCGAGAAGUGGAGUAAAUCUUAUCAUUUAGAGGAAGGAGAAGUCGUAACA